CAGUCGUACCUGCGGACAAUCAGCUUUUUGAGUGUGAUUAUGUGGAUUGUGAGGAGUUUAAUCACCCUCAUGUUUUACGUAUUCGUGCUCUUGGGUGUACUUGCCCGUGUGGUAGGCUAACAUCAAUUUUGGUCGUCAUAAAAUGACUGGAGGAAUGUAGCUUUGGUCUCGUAUCGAAGUGUUAUAGACUCUGGUAGAUGUGACGAUUGGGAUUGAGGAUUGCAACGGAUACCCUUCGGGGCUACUCGUCUGAUCUCUGAAGGUUGCUCCGGUGCCGAAAGCGUGCUUACGGUCAUCGAAAGUGAUUUUCAAAAGGUUAGAACGGGUUAAAUUCGUUAAGGAUGUUGACGUAAUGGCUUUAAACGA
rnacentral:rRNA from 1 species